rnacentral:misc_RNA from 1 species
GAUGAAGAACGUAGCGAAAUGCGAUAAGUAAUGUGAAUUGCAGAAUUCAGUGAAUCAUCGAAUCUUUGAACGCACAUUGCGCCCUCUGGUAUUCCGGGGGGCAUGCCUGUUCGAGCGUCAUUAUAACCACUCAAGCUCUCGCUUGGUAUUGGGGUUCGCGGUUCCGCGGCCCCUAAAAUCAGUGGCGGUGCCUGUCGGCUCUACGCGUAGUAAAACUCCUCGCGAUUGAGUCCGGUAGGUCUACUUGCCAGCAACCCCCAAUUUUUACAGGUUGACCUCGGAUCAGGUAGGGAUACCCGCUGAACUUAAGCAUAUCAAUAAGCGGAGGA